rnacentral:rRNA from 1 species
UACGAAGGGGGCUAGCGUUGUUCGGAAUUACUGGGCGUAAAGCGCGCGCAGGCGGCUAUCCAAGUCAGUGGUGAAAGCCCGGAGCUCAACUCCGGAACUGCCAUUGAAACUGUUUAGCUUGAGGAUGAGAGAGGUGAGUGGAAUUCCCAGUGUAGAGGUGAAAUUCGUAGAUAUUGAGAGGAACACCGGUGGCGAAGGCGGCGAUCUGGACAGUGACUGACGCUGAGGCGCGAAAGCGUGGGGAGCAAACAGG